GAUGAACGCUGGCGGCGUGCCUAAUACAUGUAAGUCGAGCGAACAGACGAGGAGCUUGGUAAUUUGAUGUUAGAGGGGGAAGGAUGAGUAAAAUGUGGAUAAUAUAAUUAUAAGAUUGGGAUAAGUUACGGAAAACGGAGCUAAUAACGGAUAAUAUAUUGAACCGCAUGGUUCAAUAGUGAAAGACGGUUUUGCUGGCAUUUAGAGAUGGAUCCGCGCUGCAUUAGCUAGUUGGUAAGGUGACGGCUUCGCAGGGCAAGAAUGCGUAGCCGACCUGAGAGGGGGGUCGGCCACAGUGGAACUGAGACACGAUCCAGACUCCUACGGGAGGCAGCGGUGGGGAAUCUGCGGCAAUGGGCGAAAGCUUGACGGAUGAACGCCGCGUGGGUGAUGAAGGUCUUCGGGUCGUAAGACUCUGUUAUUAUGGAAGAACAAAUGUGUAAGUAACUAUGCACGUCUUGACGGUACCUGAUCAGAAAGCCCCGGCUAACUACGUG
rnacentral:rRNA from 1 species